rnacentral:rRNA from 1 species
GGUGAACGCUGGCGGCGUGCUUAACACAUGCAAGUCGAACGGUGAAAGAGGGAGCUUGCUCCUUCUGGAUCAGUGGCGAACGGGUGAGUAACACGUGAGUAACCUGCCCUUGACUCUGGGAUAAGCGUUGGAAACGACGUCUAAUACCGGAUACGAGCUUCAGCCGCAUGGCUAGGAGCUGGAAAGAACUUCGGUCAAGGAUGGACUCGCGGCCUAUCAGCUUGUUGGUGAGGUAAUGGCUCACCAAGGCGACGACGGGUAGCCGGCCUGAGAGGGUGACCGGCCACACUGGGACUGAGACACGGCCCAGACUCCUACGGGAGGCAGCAGUGGGGAAUAUUGCACAAUGGGCGCAAGCCUGAUGCAGCAACGCCGCGUGAGGGACGACGGCCUUCGGGUUGUAAACCUCUUUUAGUAGGGAAGAAGCGAAAGUGACGGUACCUGCAGAAAAAGCACCGGCUAACUACGUGCCAGCCGCCGCGGUAAAAC